UCAGUGGCUACGAGACGACGCUGGCGGCGCGCCUAACACAUGCAAGUCGAACGAGAGAUGAAGAGCUUGCUCUUCAAAUCGAGUGGCGAACGGGUGAGUAACGCGUGAGGAACCUGCCUCAAAGAGGGGGACAACAGUUGGAAACGACUGCUAAUACCGCAUAAGCCCACGGCUCGGCAUCGAGCAGAGGGAAAAGGAGCAAUCCGCUUUGAGAUGGCCUCGCGUCCGAUUAGCUAGUUGGUGAGGUAACGGCCCACCAAGGCGACGAUCGGUAGCCGGACUGAGAGGUUGAACGGCCACAUUGGGACUGAGACACGGCCCAGACUCCUACGGGAGGCAGCAGUGGGGAAUAUUGCACAAUGGGGGAAACCCUGAUGCAGCGACGCCGCGUGGAGGAAGAAGGUCUUCGGAUUGUAAACUCCUGUUGUUGAGGAAGAUAAUGACGGUACUCAACAAGGAAGUGACGGCUAACUACGUG
rnacentral:rRNA from 1 species